UUUUUUAGGAGAAAUUAAAAAUUUAAAAACAAAAAGCAUUUUCUCCUGAAAACUUUUAGACCACACUGUACUACUCACUCAGCAGGCAGCUCAAAAUCUUCCCCUCCCCUCUCUCCUACCCCAGUCCCACAGGUCCCAUUUGUGUGAAUCAUGACGAAAACUCACUCUUAAUGAAAGUCUCCCCAUGCAGUAGCACGUCCCUAGCAGUGUCUCCCUGUCCCUCCCGGUGACAUCCCAGAAAGAUGUGGAUAGCUUAGGCUUCCCCCAGAACCUGGAGACAAACUACUUCUGCUGCAAAAAGAAACCGGUGCUUGACUAGAAGGCUCGCAUGAACUCAGAAAUUAGCUGUCCUGCCCCAGUUAAUAUACCCCACAGGCAGGCCGCUGCCCUUUACUCUCUCUCAAAUGUGUAAACCACCCAGAAGGACAGCUCUGAGUGUAGCAGCGACAGAGAAAUGUCUAGCCAUUUAGUUUCAUCAAGUCAAUAUCUCAUGUGAUAAAAUUUCAUCUUUAAAAAUACUUGUAUUGAUUACUAGUAAUGAUCAAUAUCUUGAUACAUUCUUAGGACUAUUGACUAUGAACUAUAGGAAAUCUCUGCUAGUACACAUGUUCCUUACCUUUCAAGGUAAAACAUUUAAGUAAGCAUUCUCAUUUUAUAUAAAAGAGUUUUAAUUAUAUUCUCUGUAUACCACGUCUUUAAUCAAGAACAGCAGUGAACUAUUUCACAGACCCCAGAUCAUGAGCAUUUUCUUUUCUGCUAAGAUACCAAAGUCUUCUGUUCCCUCGGUUUUAAGGGAAAAAAGCUGUACUCUUCCUGCACACAGUAAAACCUCCUGCUCCUGCAUCCCGGGACUAUACUUCUAGCCCCAGUCUUAGUACAAACUCACUAUUAGGAAAUACGCUAAGUCUCUACUUCAGAUAACAUCUAAUCUGCAGAACUCAAAGCCCUUUGAUAUCUGGUUGUUAUGCACUGGCCUGAGAAAACCUGCCCUGGGCUUUCUGUGCUGCUGUAGAAACCAGUUUUAUGGGGAAGAUGGACCUCACUGUUUGGGGGUUUGUGUUGUCCAAGUGGCUGCCAGGCCUGCCUUAGCUUACACAACACAGUGUGUCUCCAGACUGACUGGAGAUAGAGGCUGGGAUAUGGGUGAAAGGUGGCAGAGAAUUCUAGACAUUUGCUGCAUGCCCUGGUGAUAUCUUUCAUUUUCAUCAGACUACCAUGAUUUAAUGAUCAUUAAUAACAAUUUUCCUUGACAAAAGCGUGUUCCAGGACUUCCCUUCCUGGGCUGUUUGGUGUUCUUUAUUCUUUUAUCUUUCUCUCUGGUAAAAACUAAGCAGUCUUGCUUAUAGAUAAGAACAGGGCAGCCUUUGCUUUUCUCGGUUUAGUCUUAUUUAAAAGCCUUAGAGACAUGUGGUGGCAUUUGCUGAGGUGACGACAAUAAUAGUGGAUGGUAGGUUUUUCAACAAUGGAUGAUACAUUCUACCUGAACCUUUACCAUCCUAAAUGAUCCCCUGCAGAAAUCAGAGUUGAAUUAUUAGGCCUCUAAGUACUCUAGUAACCAAUAACAUGAUUAGAACAUCCUACUGUGUGCAUAGGCCUGCAGUAGAUGUUGAUGUUUCUGUAAACUACUAGACCUCUAUUCUCUAGAGGACUGUGACACACUCCCAAUGAUACAUAGAGCAGGCAGUAAAGAGUAACUAUUUAUCUAAAUCCUAGUCAGUGUCAGAGGUCAACAUCACCCAAAGCAUUCUUCCCAACAGAGUUUCAUAAGGACUAGUUCACAUCCUGUGGGCCUUGAAUGGGAAGAAAGUUUAGGUACCAAUGAAAGGCAACAAAGAUGGAAUCCUAUAAAUUUGAAAACAGUCUGUUCAAAAGCUUAGGGGUACAACUGUAUUUGUCUUUCUUCCCCCUAAAAGUUAACUUGGUAAUACUAAAGGGAGUAUUAACAGAAAGACCCUAUUUUAUAGACAUUCAGUGGCAUUCAUCAUAGGCAAAAACAAAACAAACAAACAAACAAACAAGCUUUCCCUUGAUGGUCCUCUGGCAUUUUCUUAGGUAAAAUAAUGUCCCAUUAGUCCAGUAAGCUUGGGCAAAGCAUGUAGGGAUUCCUAAAUUUAUUUAACC
rnacentral:lncRNA from 1 species